GUCCUAGCCCUAAACGAUGCUCAUUAGAUGUGGGAGGUAUCGACCCCUUCCGCGUCGCAGCUAACGCAUUAAAUGAGCCGCCUGGGGAGUACGGCCGCAAGGUUGAAACUCAAAGGAAUUGACGGGGGCCCGCACAAGCGGUGGAACAUGUGGUUUAAUUCGACGCAACGCGAAGAACCUUACCCGGGCUUGAACUACGGAUGGUAGUCUGAUGGAAACAUUGGGCGACCCGCAAGGGAGUCCGCAGAGGUGCUGCAUGGUUGUCGU
rnacentral:rRNA from 1 species